GAUGAACGCUAGCGGCAGGCCUAAUACAUGCAAGUCGAACGGGAUCCAGAUCAAAGCUUGCUUUGGUUUGGUGAGAGUGGCGCACGGGUGCGUAACGCGUGAGCAACCUACCCUUGUCAGGGGGAUAGCCCGGCGAAAGUCGGAUUAAUACCGCAUGACAUCUUUGAGAGGCAUCUUUCGAUGAUCAAAGAUUUAUCGGACAAGGAUGGGCUCGCGUGACAUUAGCUAGUUGGUAAGGUAACGGCUUACCAAGGCUACGAUGUCUAGGGGCUCUGAGAGGAGAAUCCCCCACACUGGUACUGAGACACGGACCAGACUCCUACGGGAGGCAGCAGCAAGGAAUAUUGGUCAAUGGACGGAAGUCUGAACCAGCCAUGCCGCGUGCAGGAAGACGGCCCUAUGGGUUGUAAACUGCUUUUAUACGGGAACAAACGUCGGUACGUGUACCGGUCUGAGUGUACCGUAAGAAUAAGGAUCGGCUAACUCCGUG
rnacentral:rRNA from 1 species